rnacentral:rRNA from 1 species
ACUCCUACGGGAGGCAGCAGUGGGGAAUAUUGGACAAUGGGCGCAAGCCUGAUCCAGCCAUGCCGCGUGAGUGAUGAAGGCCUUAGGGUUGUAAAGCUCUUUUGUCCGGGACGAUAAUGACGGUACCGGAAGAAUAAGCCCCGGCUAACUUCGUGCCAGCAGCCGCGGUAAUACGAAGGGGCUAGCGUUGCUCGGAAUCACUGGGCGUAAAGGGCGCGUAGGCGGCCGAUUAAGUCGGGGUGAAAGCCUGUGGCUCAACCACAGAAUUGCCUUCGAUACUGGUUGGCUUGAGGCCGGAAGAGGACAGCGGAACUGCGAGUGUAGAGGUGAAAUUCGUAGAUAUUCGCAAGAACACCAGUGGCGAAGGCGGCCCCUGGACAGAUACUGACACUCAGAUGCGAAAGCGUCGGGGAGUAAACAGGAUUAGAUACCCUGGUAGGAUAGCG